AAGGUUCGGUGACUGAUGGCAAUAAAAUGGUGCUGGACGAUCAAGAACAAGGCAUGAAAAAAGAGGGAAAACUAAAAAUUUGAUUUUUUUGGGAAUUUUUUUAGCAAUUGUUCAUCUUGAAUUCAUGAUUCUAAGACUUAGAAGGAUGUGGAGGAAGAUUAGAUUACAAGUUAAGAGAUUAUUAUCUUAUUUUUUGUUGGAUUUUGAUGCCUCGAAUUCGACCCAUAGCAGUUCAAGACAGAGAAGCCUAC
rnacentral:lncRNA from 1 species